AGGACAUAUUUUCCUACAUGUAUACCAACAUUUUGAUGUGAAGGACUGAGCAGAUACACUCAAAAGAUCCAGUUUUCUCCUUGAGUGCCAAAGACCAAUUUUAGUUUGUAUGUGGUCCUCACUAGUAUAAAACCUGAGC
rnacentral:lncRNA from 1 species